CUUCAAUCCUGUAGAGGUUCGGUUUAAAUAGGUUUCACUGUAUAUAUAUAUAUAUAUUUAGGAGAGAAGUACGUUGUACAUGUAAUGGCAACACAAUCUAGUGUGAAUGUAGCUCAAUCAGCUUUCGUUUGUCAAUUAUGUGACCAUAACAAAGUUGAGUGGAAAUGCGAGGAGUGUGGAAUCUACCUAUGCAGUACGUGUAAAGAUAAAA